rnacentral:rRNA from 1 species
CCUACGGGUGGCAGCAGUCGAGAAUCAUUCACAAUGGGGGAAACCCUGAUGGGGCGACGCCGCGUGGGGGAAUGAAGGUCUACGGAUUGUAAACCCCUGUUAUGUGGGAGCAAAUUAAAAAGAUAGUCCCACAAGAGGAAGAGACGGCUAAAUCUGUGCCAGCAGCCGCGGUAAUACAGCGGGCUCAAGCGUUGUUCGGAAUCACUGGGCGUAAAGUGUGCGUAGGCAGGUUCGGAAGUGGUGUGUGAAAGGCCCGGGCUCAACCCGCGGACGGCACAUGAUACUGCGAGACUAGAGUAAUGGAGAGGUAACCGGAAUUCUCGGUGUAGCAGUGAAAUGCGUAGAUAUCGCGAGGAACACUCGUGGCGAAGGCGGGUUCCUGGACAUUAACUGACGCUGAGGCACGAAGGCCAGGGGAGCGAAAAGGAUUAGAUACCCGAGUAGUC